rnacentral:lncRNA from 1 species
AAACACUACUCUAUUGUUUGUCCAAGCUUCCUAUAUAUGUACCAAAAUAUCGACUCUCUUUCUAUUAAUAUCGAACGGUAAAAACAUGGGACUAACGUCAUCAUACCCGUCUCCUCUCUCCUAUUUCUCAGAUAUAGAGAAGAUAUUGAAUACAAGUGGUGAUUAAAUCAUCAAACACUGCAAACAUUAACCUAUUUUCAGCAACAUCUGCAGAUUCAAUAUAUUCUCAGGUAACAAAAUGUGAAAUCCAAUUAGAAGCCAGCUGGACAACACCGAAGGCUAGGAAAAGUGGCUAUAAAAGUUACCUAAAUAAAGAAGAUGUUUUAUUUCAAUAAAAUAGGGUUUAUCCCUAUAAACAUGUUUGUAAUGAAAACUUGGGAAAUGCCCAUGUAUUUAAU